rnacentral:misc_RNA from 1 species
UCUCCGUAGGUGAACCUGCGGAGGGAUCAUUACAGAGUUCAUGCCCUACCGGGUAGAUCUCCCACCCUAUGUUAUUAUUACUUUGUUGCUUUGGCGGGCCGUUAGGCUCCGGCCCGACUACCGGCCCCGGCUGGUAAGCGCCCGCCAGACGACCCAAAACCCUGAAUAUUAGUGUCGUCUGAGUACUAUAUAAUAGUUAAAACUUUCAACAACGGAUCUCUUGGUUCUG